CGUCUCAGUUCGGAUUGUAGUCUGCAACUCGACUACAUGAAGCUGGAAUCGCUAGUAAUCGCGAAUCAGAAUGUCGCGGUGAAUACGUUCCCGGGCCUUGUACACACCGCCCGUCACACCAUGGGAGCCGGUAAUACCCGAAGUCAGUAGUCCAACCUCGUGAGGACGCUGCCGAAGGUAGGAUUGGCGACUGGGGUGAAGUCGUAACAAGGUACC
rnacentral:rRNA from 1 species